AUCCAACUGACAAAUCCCAAAUAGAACGAAACGCGCAUCCUGGAU
rnacentral:hammerhead_ribozyme from 1 species